AGCUCAGAAAGGACCUUGGGGACCUUCAACGGCUGAAGGCUCAGGAAGAGAAGAUGCUCCAGGCUCUGCAGGUUGAUUGGGGGAGCCACAGGCCAAGAACUGAGCAGCAGAACCAAGACCAAACCGAGCUACAGCAGAAGGCCCUCCCUCGGCAUUGGCUGGACCAACGAGAGGACCCGCCAGAGGAGGUGGCCAAGGUCUUUAACUUCUCUGAGGCAGUAACACAGCUCAGCAUCCUGGUUUCCAGUCUGGAAAGGAUGGCCAAGGAACUGGACGCCAGCACCCUGAAGGAUGCCAGCGACUUACUGGACAGGAGUUCGCAACAGAAACUAGAAGGACUUCUCUCUCAUGUUCCUCCAGCCAACUCUAAGCUCAGUUAG
rnacentral:lncRNA from 1 species